AAGGGGAUAGCUCAGUCUGGUAGAGCACGUAUAAUACUGUAUCUAUUGUUAUCAUCUUUGGAUGUAUUGCUGAUACAGUUACUUCAGGCUUUUAACCUUGUGGUCGUAGGUUCAAAUCCUACUCCCCUUC
rnacentral:tRNA from 1 species